rnacentral:pre_miRNA from 1 species
AGGCAAGAUGUUGGCAUAGCUGAGUAUUGUACACUUCAGCUGUGUCAUAUGUUGCCAAU